rnacentral:rRNA from 1 species
UUGAACGCUGGCGGCAUGCCUUACACAUGCAAGUCGAACGGCAGCACGGGUGCUUGCACCUGGUGGCGAGUGGCGAACGGGUGAGUAAUACAUCGGAACAUGUCCUGUAGUGGGGGAUAGCCCGGCGAAAGCCGGAUUAAUACCGCAUACGAUCCACGGAUGAAAGCGGGGGACCUUCGGGCCUCGCGCUAUAGGGAUGGCCGAUGGCUGAUUAGCUAGUUGGUGGGGUAAAGGCCUACCAAGGCGACGAUCAGUAGCUGGUCUGAGAGGACGACCAGCCACACUGGGACUGAGACACGGCCCAGACUCCUACGGGAGGCAGCAGUGGGGAAUUUUGGACAAUGGGCGAAAGCCUGAUCCAGCAAUGCCGCGUGUGUGAAGAAGGACUUCGGGUUGUAAAGCACUUUUGUCCGGAAAGAAAUCCUUGACUCUAAUACAGUCGGGGGAUGACGGUACCAGAAGAAUAAGCACCGGCUAACUACGUG